rnacentral:rRNA from 1 species
AUUGAACGCUGGCGGCAGGCCCAACACAUGCAAGUCGAGCGGAUGAAGGGAGCUUGCUCCUGGAUUCAGCGGCGGACGGGUGAGUAAUGCCUAGGAAUCUGCCUGGUAGUGGGGGAUAACGUCCGGAAACGGGCGCUAAUACCGCAUACGUCCUGAAGGAGAAAGUGGGGGAUCUUCGGACCUCACGCUAUCAGAUGAGCCUAGGUCGGAUUAGCUAGUUGGUGGGGUAAAGGCCUACCAAGGCGACGAUCCGUAACUGGUCUGAGAGGAUGAUCAGUCACACUGGAACUGAGACACGGUCCAGACUCCUACGGGAGGCAGCAGUGGGGAAUAUUGGACAAUGGGCGAAAGCCUGAUCCAGCCAUGCCGCGUGUGUGAAGAAGGUCUUCGGAUUGUAAAGCACUUUAAGUUGGGAGGAAGGGCAGUAAGUUAAUACCUUGCUGUUUUGACGUUACCAACAGAAUAAGCACCGGCUAACUUCGUG